CGGGGCGUAGCGCAGCCUGGUAGCGCAUCUGCUUUGGGAGCAGAGGGUCGCAGGUUCAAAUCCUGCCGCCCCGACCA
rnacentral:tRNA from 10 species